rnacentral:rRNA from 1 species
GACGGGGGGGGCAAGCGUUGUUCGGAAUUACUGGGCGUAAAGGGCUCGUAGGUGGCCAACUAAGUCAGACGUGAAAUCCCUCGGCUUAACCGGGGAACUGCGUCUGAUACUGGAUGGCUUGAGUUUGGGAGAGGGACGCGGAAUUCCAGGUGUAGCGGUGGAAUGCGUAGAGAUCCGGAAGAACACCGGUGGCGAAGGCGGCCUGCUGGGCAGUAGCUGACGCUGAUGCGCGACAGCGUGGGGAGCAAACAGG